CAGCAGCCACGGUAAUACAGAGGGUGCGAGCGUUAAUCGGAUUUACUGGGCGUAAAGCGUGCGCAGGCGGUUAUAUAAGACAGAUGUGAAAUCCCCGGGCUCAACCUGGGAACUGCAUUUGUGACUGUAUAGCUAGAGUACGGCAGAGGGGGAUGGAAUUCCGCGUGUAGCAGUGAAAUGCGUAGAUAUGCGGAGGAACACCGAUGGCGAAGGCAAUCCCCUGGGCCUGUACUGACGCUCAUGCACGAAAGCGUGGGGAGCAAACAGGAUUAGAUACCCCGGUAGUCCCUGUCUCUUAUAC
rnacentral:rRNA from 1 species